AGUGAACGCUGGCGGUAGGCCUAACACAUGCAAGUCGAACGGCAGCACAGUAAGAGCUUGCUCUUACGGGUGGCGAGUGGCGGACGGGUGAGGAAUACAUCGGAAUCUACUUUUUCGUGGGGGAUAACGUAGGGAAACUUACGCUAAUACCGCAUACGACCUACGGGUGAAAGCAGGGGAUCUUCGGACCUUUCGCGAUUGAAUGAGCCGAUGUCGGAUUAGCUAGUUGGCGGGGUAAAGGCCCACCAAGGCGACGAUCCGUAGCUGGUCUGAGAGGAUGAUCAGCCACACUGGAACUGAGACACGGUCCAGACUCCUACGGGAGGCAGCAGUGGGGAAUAUUGGACAAUGGGCGCAAGCCUGAUCCAGCCAUACCGCGUGGGUGAAGAAGGCCUUCGGGUUGUAAAGCCCUUUUGUUGGGAAAGAACAGCAGCAGGUUAAUACCCCGCUGUUCCGACGGUACCCAAAGAAUAAGCACCGGCUAACUUCGUG
rnacentral:rRNA from 1 species